UACGGAGGGUGCAAGCGUUAUCCGGAUUCACUGGGUUUAAAGGGUGCGUAGGCGGGCAGGUAAGUCAGUGGUGAAAUCUCCGAGCUUAACUCGGAAACUGCCGUUGAUACUAUUUGUCUUGAAUAUUGUGGAGGUAAGCGGAAUAUGUCAUGUAGCGGUGAAAUGCUUAGAUAUGGCAUAGAACACCAAUUGCGAAGGCAGCUUACUACACAACGAUUGACGCUGAGGCACGAAAGCGUGGGGAUCAAACAGG
rnacentral:rRNA from 1 species